UACGUAGGGGGCUAGCGUUGUCCGGAAUUAUUGGGCGUAAAGAGCUCGUAGGCGGUGUGUCACGUCGUUCGUGAAAACCUGCAGCUUAACUGUGGGCGUGCGGUCGAUACGGGCAUCACUGGAGUUCGGCAGGGGAGACUGGAAUUCCUGGUGUAGCGGUGAAAUGCGCAGAUAUCAGGAGGAACACCGGUGGCGAAGGCGGGUCUCUGGGCCAUAACUGACGCUGAGGAGCGAAAGCGUGGGGAGCGAACAGG
rnacentral:rRNA from 1 species